GACGAACCGUGCGACCGUUAUUCGGAAUCAUUGGGCUUAAAGGGCGCGUAGGCGGCGGUGUAAGUUGGAAGUGAAAUCCCAUCGGCUCAACCGUGGAAUAGCUCCCAGUACUGCAUCGCUCGAGGGGGAUAGGGGUCUGCGGAACUACCGGUGGAGCGGUGAAAUGUGUUGAUAUCGGUGGGAACGCCAGUGGCGAAAGCGGCAGACUUGACCCUUCCUGACGCUGAGGCGCGAAAGCGUGGGGAGCAAACAGG
rnacentral:rRNA from 1 species